rnacentral:rRNA from 1 species
UACGUAGGGUGCAAGCGUUGUCCGGAAUUAUUGGGCGUAAAGAGCUCGUAGGCGGUCUGUCGCGUCGGCUGUGAAAACCCGGAGCUCAACUCCGGGCCUGCAGUCGAUACGGGCAAACUGGAGUGUUGCAGGGGAGACUGGAAUUCCUGGUGUAGCGGUGAAAUGCGCAGAUAUCAGGAGGAACACCGGUGGCGAAGGCGGGUCUCUGGGCAACAACUGACGCUGAGGCGCGACAGCGUGGGGAGCGAACAGG